rnacentral:rRNA from 1 species
GACGAACGCUGGCGGCGUGCUUAACACAUGCAAGUCGAACGGAAAGGCCCUGCUUUUGUGGGGUGCUCGAGUGGCGAACGGGUGAGUAACACGUGAGUAACCUGCCCUUGACUUUGGGAUAACUUCAGGAAACUGGGGCUAAUACCGGAUAGGAGCUCCUGCUGCAUGGUGGGGGUUGGAAAGUUUCGGCGGUUGGGGAUGGACUCGCGGCUUAUCAGCUUGUUGGCGAGGUAGUGGCUUACCAAGGCUUUGACGGGUAGCCGGCCUGAGAGGGUGACCGGCCACAUUGGGACUGAGAUACGGCCCAGACUCCUACGGGAGGCAGCAGUGGGGAAUAUUGCACAAUGGGCGGAAGCCUGAUGCAGCAACGCCGCGUGCGGGAUGACGGCCUUCGGGUUGUAAACCGCUUUCGCCUGUGACGAAGCGUGAGUGACGGUAAUGGGUAAAGAAGCACCGGCUAACUACGUG